rnacentral:rRNA from 1 species
UACAGAGGUCCCAAGCGUUGUUCGGAUUCACUGGGCGUAAAGGGUGCGUAGGCGGUUGGGUAAGUCUGACGUGAAAUCUCCGGGCCUAACCCGGAAACUGCGUUGGAUACUAUCCGGCUAGAGGAAUGGAGGGGAGACUGGAAUACUUGGUGUAGCAGUGAAAUGCGUAGAUAUCAAGUGGAACACCAGUGGCGAAGGCGAGUCUCUGGACAUUUCCUGACGCUGAGGCACGAAAGCCAGGGGAGCAAACGGG